rnacentral:tRNA from 1 species
GGGGGCAUAGCUCAAUGGAUAGAGCACCGACCUUCUAAGUCGUAGGUUACAGGUUCGAGUCCUGUUGUCCCCG